CCACAUUUUGCCGUUCCGACUCUAAAGCAACUACAUUUCUCUACAGAGCACAGAACUGUAAGAAAUGGUCAAAUAUCACCAAGUGCACAAGACUCAAGACUGGCAUAGUAGAAGACAAAGGUGGAUAUAUGGGUUAUUCAAUCAACCUCCUAAUAUGGGCAUAAACUCCAGUGGCUUGGACUCUGAAGCAUGAUUCCUCAAAAUAAAGCAAACAGUUCCUCAUGACUUUAUAGAGUGAUUAAGCCAUUGGAAAUGCGUUGCACAAAAAGCGCCAUGCAGCACAACAUAG
rnacentral:lncRNA from 1 species